GGACAUUAGUGUGUUUUUCAAUUUCUCUUGCAGUGAAACCUUUCUAUUUAAGAUGAAAAGAAGCACUGGAUUCCUGAUCGGAUGGUCCCAAUCGGCGCUUUCAGGAGGCGUGUCGUCCAGCAUUUAGCUUGAGCAAAGAUGGAGCUGUAUGUCGAUGAAUUAUAUUGGAAAGCGACACGCAUGGAAUCUGUUUAGGCUGUAUCACAGUUGUCUCCCUUGGGCCGUUGUUCAACUUAUGAUCUAUAUUGAGCAAAAGGUAUUCAAGCAGGCAGUGCUCCUGAUCCGAAGGUCACAGGGGACGCUUCCUGGCGGCAUGUGGUCCUGACCGAUGAGGUGGUAUGCUGUAGACACUAGAAAAGGUAUCAGCCUUCGCUUCGUCAAAACAACAUUGCAGUUAUCCCCCUUCGACUGAUGGAACGCAAAAUGUCUGCAGUUUGUGGACAAUAAGGUACUGAUUGCACUGUUUUCAGACAUUUCAUCAUACUAGAUGUGUUUUGCUUUGUACACAUUUCUAGACAUUCAACAUUAUUGCCAGAAGUCUUUUAAGUUGGAUAGAUUUUAAAAUUGUUGUUAGGCAAAUUUUGCUGUCUUAGCCAUCAGAUGGUGUAUAAUCAUUAGCAUUCACACACAAGUAGCCAUUGUCCAGAUUAUAUAGUAGACAAAUGAAUUUAAAAUGACAAGCUGCAACGUGUCCAUUAUAUUAAAUAACACUUUCAAACCCAGGCUUGUUAAAUACAACACUUUAAUGUCAUUUAGUUUUAACCGAUUACUUCGCUCAAAUUGCAGAAAGAAGUAGCCUUCUGUCGGAAUACUGUUCUGACACUAGGGCUAAGUGUUGACAACCUCUUUCGACUCAAGAUACUUAAACAAGUAUUAUUUGGUGAAAUCAUUAGUCAAAUGCUUCUUUUUUUUAUUAUUUUAUCUGAUCUAACUCUCAGAAAUGAUACUGCGAAAAUAGUACUAGAUACCUUGUUCCAUUUAAGGGAAUAAAUAAAGAAAAAUAGUGGCAUUGUUUUGAAAGAUACUCAAUAUUUUCUAGUAGUAAUCACACCGCUAUGUUCUUGGUUAUUUGCUAAAUGCAACACUUAUACGAAUGAGUGGCCUACUGUUUGUAAUCUAAUUGACAUUACUUUUCAGAACAAGACUUGAAAGGAGCAGAUGUAUGUGUCAGGAUACGUGCACAAUUUUUAAAAAUAUGGUUUCUAAUCGACGUAUUUUAGAUAUGCCAGUACGAGCUGACGACCCACAUUAAAUCCCUGCCAUGAAGGUCAAAAGAGCCAUUUCCUGACAGAUGGUGUACUGGGUUGUCCGGCAUUUACCAGGAAUGCAGAUACAUGGCUUGGUAGGUCGCAGCUUGGCAUCAUUCAGCUACACCUGAAGUAAUAUGUAUAAUGUUACGAAUUGGUAAUGUUAUUUUUGCUGUUAAAACAUAAGUCCCCAUCAGGUCAUCUUGGCAUAAGACACCAUUGAAUUUUUGUCAGAGCUUGGUAUGUAACCUAUGAUCUCAGACAAAUAGUUGAAUUAUCCAUUUGAAAAACCAAUGUAUGUUAUAACUUACGUUAUUAUUCCGGUUACCAUUUGUUCCUAAGUGACUAGUUCGACUAGUAUUGGGAAAACACUAGUUUAGGAUGAAUUAUUGCCUAGAAAUGUCAGUCAUAUAAAGCAUUCUAGGUAAGUGAAAAUGGCAUCAUUGAUUAUUCGACAC